AAAAGAACUCUAUGAAAUGUAUAAGGGAAUCAUAGAAUGGUUUGGGUUGGAAGGGACCUUUAAAGGUUAUCUAGUCCAACCCCCCUUGCAAUGAGAAGGGACACUUUCAACUAGAUCAGGUUGCUCAAAGCCCCGUCCAACCUGGCCUUGAACACUGCCAGGGAGGGGGCAUCUACCACCUCU